AACCUGGUUGAUCCUGCCAGUAGUCAUAUGCUUGUCUCAAAGACUAAGCCAUGCAUGUCUAAGUAUAAAUGAUAUACAGUGAAACUGCGAAUGGCUCAUUAAAACAGUUAUAGUUUAUUUGGUAAUCGAAAUUACAUGGAUAACCGUGGUAAUUCUAGAGCUAAUACAUGCUGUAAAGCCCGACUUUUUGAAGGGCCGUAUUUAUUAGAUAACAGACCAAUAUUCCUCGUGUCUAUUGUGGUGAAUCAUAGUAACUAAUCGGAUCGCAUGGGCUUCGCCCGCGACAAACCAUUCAAGUUUCUGCCCCAUCAGCUUUCGAUGGUAGUGUAUUGGACUACCAUGGCUUUUACGGGUAACGGAGGAUUAGGGUUCGAUUCCGGAGAGGGAGCCUGAGAAACGGCUACCACAUCUAAGGAAGGC
rnacentral:rRNA from 1 species